rnacentral:pre_miRNA from 1 species
ACAACAUUAGGACCGUCGGUCUACCGAGCAAUAUCACCCGCUCGAAGGAAGAUCUUCCCUUCGUCGU